rnacentral:rRNA from 1 species
UCGCGUCAGGAUAUGCCUAGGUGGGAUUAGCUAGUUGGUGAGGUAAGGGCUCACCAAGGCGACGAUCCCUAGCUGGUCUGAGAGGAUGAUCAGCCACACUGGAACUGAGACACGGUCCAGACUCCUACGGGAGGCAGCAGUGGGGAAUAUUGCACAAUGGGCGCAAGCCUGAUGCAGCCAUGCCGCGUGUGUGAAGAAGGCCUUCGGGUUGUAAAGCACUUUCAGUCGUGAGGAAGGUAGUGUAGUUAAUAGCUGCAUUAUUUGACGUUAGCGACAGAAGAAGCACCGGCUAACUCCGUGCCAGCAGCCGCGGUAAUACGGAGGGUGCGAGCGUUAAUCGGAAUUACUGGGCGUAAAGCGCAUGCAGGUGGUUUGUUAAGUCAGAUGUGAAAGCCCGGGGCUCAACCUCGGAAUUGCAUUUGAAACUGGCAGACUAGAGUACUGUAGAGGGGGGUAGAAUUUCAGGUGUAGCGGUGAAAUGCGUAGAGAUCUGAAGGAAUACCGGUGGCGAAGGCGGCCCCCUGGACAGAUACUGACACUCAGAUGCGAAAGCGUGGGGAGCAAACAGGAUUAGAUACCCUGGUAGUCCACGCCGUAAACGAUGUCUACUUGGAGGUUGUGGCCUUGAGCCGUGGCUUUCGGAGCUAACGCGUUAAGUAGACCGCCUGGGGAGUACGGUCGCAAGAUUAAAACUCAAAUGAAUUGACGGGGGCCCGCACAAGCGGUGGAGCAUGUGGUUUAAUUCGAUGCAACGCGAAGAACCUUACCUACUCUUGACAUCCAGAGAACUUUCCAGAGAUGGAUUGGUGCCUUCGGGAACUCUGAGACAGGUGCUGCAUGGCUGUCGUCAGCUCGUGUUGUGAAAUGUUGGGUUAAGUCCCGCAACGAGCGCAACCCUUAUCCUUGUUUGCCAGCGAGUAAUGUCGGGAACUCCAGGGAGACUGCCGGUGAUAAACCGGAGGAAGGUGGGGACGACGUCAAGUCAUCAUGGCCCUUACGAGUAGGGCUACACACGUGCUACAAUGGCGCAUACAGAGGGCGGCCAACUUGCGAAAGUGAGCGAAUCCCAAAAAGUGCGUCGUAGUCCGGAUUGGAGUCUGCAACUCGACUCCAUGAAGUCGGAAUCGCUAGUAAUCGUGGAUCAGAAUGCCACGGUGAAUACGUUCCCGGGCCUUGUACACACCGCCCGUCACACCAUGGGAGUGGGCUGCAAAAGAAGUAGGUAGUUUAACCUUCGGGGGGACGCUUACCACUUUGUGGUUCAUGACUGGGGUGAAGUC